GACGAACGCUGGCGGCGUGCUUAACACAUGCAAGUCGAACGGAAAGGCCUGCUUUCCCUUGUGGAUUGCGGGUACUCGAGUGGCGAACGGGUGAGUAACACGUGAGUGAUCUGCCCCCAACUUGGGUAUAAGCCUGGGAAACUGGGUCUAAUUCCCGAUAGGACUGCAGGGUGGUGCCUGUGGUGGAAAACGAUUUUCUAGUGGUUGGGGAUGAGCUCGCGGCCUAUCAGCCUGUUGGAGGGGUAAUGGCCUACCAAGGCGGCGACGGGUAGCCGGCCUGGGAGGGUGGACGGCCACAUUGGGACUGAGAUACGGCCCAGACUCCUACGGGAGGCAGCAGUGGGGAAUAUUGCACAAUGGGCGGAAGCCUGAUGCAGCGACGCCGCGUGGGGGAUGACGGCCUUCGGGUUGUAAACUCCUUUCGACCGCGAGGAAGCCACCUGGUUGGAAGGGUGGUGACGGUAGUGGUAGAAGAAGCACCGGCUAACUACGUG
rnacentral:rRNA from 1 species